rnacentral:lncRNA from 1 species
UGAUGAUGAGCUAGGUUCUUGAUGAAAAAGUUUUUUUAAAUGAUGUAUUCUAAAUUCUGGGACUUGAGAUGAGCCUUUGGUAAACACUGUAAGAGGUAAUUAUUAUUCUUAACAACUUUUAGGAAGAUUUAAUUUUGUAGGUGGGUCUCAGUGUAAUAGAACCUCACUGGAAAAACUAUCAACAUUUAUCAGAUAUUUCUUGCUCUUUCUAGGCAGACUGGGAAAUCCUGUGAACUACAACAGCGCUGUUUUCAUCUUUUUGACCUGUGGGGGAGGAACAUAAGAGGGAGUAACCUGAAUAACCCUCAAUGAGUUUCAUUUUCCAAAAACGUGUUACUCAGGUGUCUGAGAAGUUUCAGGUCGUCAAAGUAUAGCUUGUUUGGUAUCAAAUAUCAUUUGAUAUUCUUCUGUAUCAAGUAUGUCUUUUUCUUGACUACACCUAUUGAAUAUUCAUUGUGUCUAUCAAGGCAGAUUAAAUAUUUGCAUGCAGAACUGUUCCAGUUUUAUAAAAAGACUAUAAAGGACUAUACGCGUAUUGUUUUUUGUUUUUAACCACCACUAUUUCUCCAUCUGCUUUUCGUAGGUUUCUGCCAAGCGGAAGAACAUGAAAAAUAAUCUGGGCCCAAUGCAACCACUUUUUUUGAAAUUCUGUGUUUGUUUAUAGAGGAAAAGCAAUAACAGAUCACUGUCAAAAUGCAAUUGGUUUGGGCUCUUACAUAUCUUCCUGGAGAACGAUUCGUUCACUAUUCCCGGGAUUUGAGGAACCAUGCUUACCUUUAAUGAAAAGGCCAGGAGAUAGAGCCCACCUCAUGGAAAGAUCUGCCACAGCCUGUGAGACCCUGCACCAGAAGUGGAAGAGGCAAGGGAAGAUGAGAACUCCCACCAACAUCGAAGGGUCUGGAAAAGACCCGAGUCAUCAGUUAUUAGGUUGCAACUUCGGCUAAAAUAAAGUUUUGAAAUUAUCUGUGAUUAGAGUUUUC